rnacentral:rRNA from 1 species
AUUGAACGCUGGCGGCAUGCCUUACACAUGCAAGUCGAACGGCAGCGCGGGGGCAACCCUGGCGGCGAGUGGCGAACGGGUGAGUAAUAUAUCGGAACGUACCCAAGAGUGGGGGAUAACGUAGCGAAAGUUACGCUAAUACCGCAUACGAUCUAAGGAUGAAAGUGGGGGACCGCAAGGCCUCACGCUCCUGGAGCGGCCGAUAUCUGAUUAGCUAGUUGGUGGGGUAAAGCCUACCAAGGCAUCGAUCAGUAGCUGGCCUGAGAGGACGACCAGCCACACUGGGACUGAGACACGGCCCAGACUCCUACGGGAGGCAGCAGUGGGGAAUUUUUGGACAAUGGGGGGCAACCCUGAUCCAGCAAUGCCGCGUGAGUGAAGAAGGCCUCGGUUGUAAG